GAUGCUAGAACUCAAUUGAUAUUCUAUUUACUCUUGACAUACAAAGUCUACAAUGCACAAACAAUAUAAUUUUUCUUUAUAUGCUCUGAAUUUGCAUGUUUCAUCUAUCAGGAAGCUUCUCAGAAAGGCCUCCCUGUUUGCCGCCACCUAUUUCUUCACUACCCAGAUGAUGAACAUGUGCAUAGCUUGACAUAUGAGCAAUUUCUUGUUGGUACAGAGAUUCUAUUAGUGCCUGUUCUAGACAAAGGCAAAAAGAAUGUUAAGGCCUAUUUUCCAAUAGGAGAAAGGUAUCCAUGGAAACAUAUUUGGACAGGAAAUCUAUACGAAGAACAAGGUUCAGAAGCAUGGGUCGAAGCUCCAAUUGGUUAUCCUGCGGUUUUUAUUAAGGAUGGCUCGGUUAUUGGAGAGACCUUUAUGAAAUAACUAAUAGAAUUCAAUAUUUUGUAAAGAAGUAGCCACAAAGAUGUAUACAUCAGAAUAUAGUUGUCAACUUUUCAAGAUUGUAGGUGCUCCCAUCCUUGUAUGCAGCAAGCCAGAAGUUAUAUUUUUGUAUGUUAGAUUACAAUUGGUUGUACAAUCCAAAUAAUCUGUACAGUGUAAUUAUUUCAGUUUUUGCUAUAUCAGUAUCAUUAUGUACUUGCAAAGUAAUUAGUUAAUGAUCAACAGCCUAUAAUCUCGGAGGUUCCUGCAUAAAAAUUCAGCACCAUUCAGACAUUAAAACAAACAUCUUCGUGUAUCAAUCAAGAAUACUUCUUCAGGCAUUAAAACAAAGUAACAAACAUCUUCAUGUAUCAAUCAAGAAGACUUCUUUUCCUCUGAAAGCUGCUUCUAAUUGACCAAAAUUUGACACCCAACAAUUCAAAUUAUAAACACGAAUCCCCCAUAUAAGGAAAUUCAAUAAUAACAAUCAUUCUAAUUUCUCAAGAAGCAGUUAAUUGGUCAAACCCAUAAAGUAAAAUAGAUAGUAAACUUGCUAAAACACAAAAGGACACUAUUUAUGACCAAUCAGAUUGAAAAAAAGAGCUACUAUCGCAUCUUUCUUCUUGUGAUUUUGUUCUUUCUUCAAAAUUUAAAAACUGAAAAGUAGAAUGAGCUAACUUAUUUGGGGCACUGAAGAAAAAUUGUUAUAUAACUUGGCUGAAGGAAACUCACCUUUCCAAAGAAAAUUGGAAAAGCUUCGUAGCAAAAGAAUGAAGUGAGAUUGAGAUUGAGACAGACCAAGAUCUGAAUACAGGGGCUUGUCAUUUGUUUGAGCUUUUUCCAGACUUGUUCCGUACGACAGUUAAAAAUAUAACUGAUUCGGAUACUAUGCGGGAUAUUCGCUCUCAUUUCACGUCGGAGUGUGGGACUGUUU
rnacentral:lncRNA from 1 species